AAUAAGAUUUAAGAUACUAAUCUCUCUCCUUCCUGAGAAGUGUCCCGGGACCUUGCCUUGACAUGGUCACGUCACCUGAUACUAAACACCAUCUUAGACUGCUAGUGAUUUUCCACUAAAAGGAGGGGGUGGUCAAGACUGGGAAACAAAAGAUUCUGGCAUUAUGUAAAUUCUAUUCAAGGCUGGGGAGUAAAUUGAUCUUGGUUUACUCUUCACUGAAUCCCCACCCAGGCUGACAGCUGGAAAGAUCUGAGAAACAAAGACACAAAGGUGGGGGAUGGGGGGAAUUGAGCCCUGGCUGGAAAAGGGAUCUGAUCUGUGAAUAUGGUGUCUGAAGAUUUAAGCUGCAAGAAGGGUAGCUAACCUUCAAGAAUUUGUGUAUCCUGCUCAAAAGCAACAUUUAGGCUGAAUGUGUCCCUACCUCUGUGUGUGCCAGAGACGGCUUGAGGGCCUGGGACAGCUAAGACAGGGUGAGGAAACCCAGACUGGGGGAACUGGCAGAACCACUGGGACCCUAGUACAUCAUUUGCAUCCUGGAUGGGAGGUCCAACCUGUCACAGUGAGAUUGUUUCCAACUUCUUCCUAUCAUAGUACUGGUAAUCAGCUGUGUGCAGAAGUUCCUUUUCCAGUUGUAAGUGUAACUCCAGUUGGAGUGCUGCAUAGCAGCUUUUACAUUGAUACCAUGGAGGCAACAGCUAGGCUCAUACCCAGCAGAAAAUACAACAUAGUUAACUAUGUUUCUAGUUCAAAUGUAUAGAUCUUAAUCAGAAUAUGUAAAACAGUAUAAGAACCUUCAAGCUAGCUUUAGCUCAGCCGAGUUAUUUAUAUUUCAAUUUGAUGUAUCAUAUACCACCACCUUAUAUUAGUACAAAAAUUACCCAGCAUAGGAUCCAAGUGAUGGGAUUUGAAAAACUAUUAAAUAUUCCUGGAAGCAGGUUUGGGCAAGCUUAUGUAUUCACAGGACAGCAUUAAUCCAUUUCAGCAUCAUCUUUAAUGUUCUCUUAUUUUAGAUGAUCCUCCAGCUUCCCAGGAGAACAAUGGCAAAAAGAUAUCUACAGUUCUGCAUAGUAUUUAAAUUCAGAGGGGCAUUGCAACCUAUUUGAAAUUCAGAUUAACUAGGAAUGACCAUUUGAAUCUGGCAGCAGAACAAUAGUUGCUACAUAAAGGACUAUUAGAUAUGAACACCUGCCUCUUGACAGAAGAAACUUGCAAAAACUAUGUGUUAGAUUUGCCCUAAAUAUUUUUCUAGCCCAGUGGCACAUAGUUAAUACUUUAUUUUGUUACUGAUUCAGGGAGCACCCUAGAUAGUAGUUUCUCUCAUCAGUGAAAACUGAAUAUAUUCAAAACCACAUUACUUAUUUUUAUUUCUAGAAAAAUUCUCUCUUUGACUUGAGUGGGAAAUAACAGGGGCUAGAAAAUUGCAUCACAUGGAAAAACUUACAUGAAAUGAAUGGGAAAUAGAUUUGACAACAGCGGAGAAAACAAGGGGUUCUGUCCAGAUACUAAAAGCACGGGGUCCUGUGUCUGAGCAAUGACUCUGGGGGGCUGUUCCUUCUGCAGCAGCAAUGGAGUCGCUGUGCUAAAGAUUCCUCUGACCACUUCUUCUCUACGUUUCCCCUUAAUUCAAUUUCAUAGCAUGGCAGGCUGGGGCAAGGACAUUAGUGCAGCUUCAGCAUACAUUAACAUUUUGGCAGAUUCCUCACAUUGUGAUGGUGGAUAUGAGUUUGCCCCUCCCCACCAGCAAAAAGAUCUCUGUGCUGUGAAGGGACAGUAACACAAAGGCCCCUCAAUCCCAUUACUUACAGAAGGAUGGAGAACCGUGCAUGGAGGGGCUAUUCUGGGCACAAAUCCCAAGGAAUGAUUCUCUCCAUUAUAAUAUAUUACUCUUACUGCACCAUACAUGUUCAUGACAUUUCAUAGACAAAUACUAGAUUUCUGCCCAAAAGAGCUUCAUUUAAGUUAGAUAAUACAUAUGCAAAGAGCAGGGAAUUAGAAUACAGACCAUUUGAUUACUUUCGUUCAGAUUAUGUAUGCACCUUGUAAUUCCAGGUAGGGUUUUUUUUUGGUGGGGGGUGGGAAAUGGGGACAGUAAAAAUGGAGUGUUAUUUUCAAAUAGUGCUCAGAGGCAAUAAUCAUCAUAGUAUAACAAGCUUCAUUCUAUUUGGGUUCUCAGUAGAAGGCUCUUAAAAGGGUUUCUGUGGGGGCUGAGGACCGUCUCAAAGUAAGGUAGGGUUGAGUGCACAAAAAGUUUUCUAGCACAGGGGAGGGAUGUAAAAACAAGAAAGUACAAAUAAAAGAAGGAAAUUAAGGGCACGGAUGAUCUCAGUCACUUCAGAAGGCUAAAUCAGGAAAUGCUAUUCUCUUCAGUUGGAGCAGUUUGUGCGUUAUAAACCUGCCUCUUGGUGACACUCCAUACUAUGCUCUACUAGGUGGUUUAGAGGAAUGAAAAUAGGUUAAACAGGUGUCACCAGUUCAUACAAUAGUUUAAAAUUCCUGGAGGCUUCCCAUGAGCAAUAGCAAAACUUCAGAAAAACCUCAGUGAGAAUGAAUAUCUUGCAAAAAAGUUUCUAAUUUUGGAAAACCGCUCUGAAAUAGGUACACGAAUACAACUCCAGCUAAAAAUCCCAUUUCAACCAUAUUGACAUAAAAUUAAUUUUUUAUACAUUUUUAAUAUCAAUACUUGUCUUCUACAAAAUAAAUUUAAUGAGAAAUAGAAUAAGUUUGUCUCCCUCCCUAAAAAAAAAAUAUUAUAUAUAUAACAUUUUUUAUAAAGCUAAUUUAGACUCUGCUCAAAUAUGGGAGUAUACAAACACAUUCAUAAAUAUUGUAGAUGAAGUAUAUAGGAAACACACCUGCAUCGUUGAGAUGACUGUACAUUCUGUUUAAUAGUUCAUGUAUUGUAUUCUGUAUACAUAAAACAGUCUCCAUAAAUAAAAAUACUAUAUAUAAAUGUAUGCAUCGUCAAACUCAUACAAUGCAAUGAGUGCAUUUAUAUACGUAUACAACAUAUACAGCAUAUGUACUACAACUAUAUAGUAUAUAUUACAUAGGUUGCAUAUUAAGUUGUAAUAUAGAUAUGCACAAAAUCAGAAAUCAACAAAAGUAGUAAUUCUAGAAAAUAUUACAGUGACUAAAAGAAUUCAAUAACGUUUUGUUU